CGAGAUUCCCCCAGUAGCGGCGAGCGAACGGGGAGCAGCCCAGAGUCUGAAUCAGUGUGUGUGUUAGUGGAAGCGUCUGGAAAGGCGCGCGAUACAGGGUGACAGCCCCGUACACAAAAAUGCACAUAUUGUGAGCUCGAUGAGUAGGGCGGGACACGUGGUAUCCUGUCUGAAUAUGGGGGGACCAUCCUCCAAGGCUAAAUACUCCUGACUGACCGAUAGUGAACCAGUACCGUGAGGGAAAGGCGAAAAGAAC
rnacentral:rRNA from 1 species